rnacentral:rRNA from 1 species
GACGAACGCUGGCGGCGUGCCUAACACAUGCAAGUCGAGCGAGUGGAUCGCCUUCGGGAGUGAAGCUAGCGGCGGACGGGUGAGUAACACGUUGGCAACCUGCCUCAUAGAGGGGAAUAGCCUUUCGAAAGGAAGAUUAAUACCGCAUAAGAUCGUAGCUUCGCAUGAAGUAGCAAUUAAAGGAGCAAUCCGCUAUGAGAUGGGCCCGCGGCGCAUUAGCUAGUUGGUGAGGUAACGGCUCACCAAGGCGACGAUGCGUAGCCGACCUGAGAGGGUGAUCGGCCACAUUGAGACUGAGACACGGCCCAGACUCCUACGGGAGGCAGCAGUGGGGAAUAUUGCACAAUGGGGGAAACCCUGAUGCAGCAACGCCGCGUGAGUGAUGACGGCCUUCGGGUUGUAAAGCUCUGUCUUCAGGGACGAUAAUGACGGUACCUGAGGAGGAAGCCACGGCUAACUACGUGCCAGCCGCCGCGGUAA